rnacentral:rRNA from 1 species
GAUGAACGCUGGCGGCGUGCCUAAUACAUGCAAGUCGAGCGAACGGACGAUAAGCUUGCUUCUCUGAUGUUAGCGGCUGACGGGCGAGUAACACGUGGAUAACCUUCUUCUUAGACUUGGAGAACUUCGUGAAACCGGAGCUAAUACCGGAUGAUAUUUUGAACGGCAUGGAUCAAAAGUUAUUCACGGUCUUGCCGUCACUAUUAGAUGGUUCCGCGCUGCAUUAGCUAGUUGGUAAGGUAACGGCUUACCAAGGCAACGAUGCAUAGCCGACCUGAGAGGGUGAUCGGCCACACUGGAACUGAGACACGGUCCAGACUCCUACGGGAGGCAGCAGUAGGGAAUCUUCGGCAAUGGGCGCAAGCCUGACGGAGCAACGCCGCGUGAGUGAUGAAGGUCCUCGGAUCGUAAAACUCUGUUAUUAGGGAAGAAAAUAUGUGUAAGUAACUGUGCACAUCUUGACGGUACCUAAUCAGAAAGCAACGGCUAACUACGUG